GAUCCCCCCUCCUCAUGUCGAAUCUGGCCGCAGAAGUGGCCGAGAAGGCCCUCGAGCUCGGCAUGCUCGCGCCAGCGCGCUCUAGGCUCCAUCGGAGGCGGACGCGGAGGCGCAGGACUCCACGCCUCUCCUCUGCCCUGCUCCUUCUUCGAAUCCAGUCGCCUAAGUGCUCGAGGAGGCGCUCGAGCUUGGCAUGCUCGUCGGCGACACCGGGCCCCUCCCUCCUCCUGUUGCCUCGCCGCCGCCAUGAGCCCCUCCACCCUCUCCUGUGUGAUUGUACAGCUCCAGGCAGUCUGUUGGCACAAUGAAUAAUGUCUGCUCUUCGACUGGAGCAGUUCUUCCCUGUUGGUAAUCAGAGGAUACAUGCUACUAAUUCUUCAACUGAAAUUAAUUUUCAGUUUGAUCCAAGAGCAAAUCAUGAACCUCAAGUUUUCUUAGCACCUAUGCCAAAGAGAAGAAGGUUAGUUUCUUUCAAGAAUGAAAGAACUGGUACCAAAGGAACUGCUGUCAGUAAAAGACAUUAUGGGAAGCAAGCUGACACCCCACCGCAACCUGUGCCUAAAGCAAAUGAAGCAAGUGCAGGGGCCAACCCUUUUCUAUGGAGCACAAUUUCAAGCUCAUCAACCAACAUAACCUUUGGCACUAAUAGCAAUCGCACAUAUUGUGGACAGCUUCACAAUGUGUCCCUCACUGAGAAAUCACCAUGAAUGUUCCCUUUCAAGUCACUUCAUAAGUUGUUCUGUUAUUGGGCUUUGUUAGAUAAGCUGAUUUAACUGAGUAUUAUUCUGCUCUAGAUUGUUGCUUCUGGUUGUGAGUGAAUCUAAGAGUUAACAUGGUACAAUAUCUUCUCGAAGAUGAUGUAUUCCUUCAUAAAAAAGGAUGUUGGAGAAGUUAUUAUUGAAGAGGAGUUCAGUCUCAUGUGAUUCUCAAGAGCUAAAAUGGAACAAGAAGUGCAGGCCUCUCAUGUCUACACUAACUAAUCAGAAAAAACGUGGUAUCAGAAAAGGGCGAAUAGGGGAAGAAUCAACAUAGAUAUUGUCCCGGUUUUAUCCCGUCCUGGAGCUACAAGAAGGCUGGGUGAAGUCUACGAUGGGUUCUUUUCCAAGCAAAGAGAAGGCUGAGGCGACUCUGGUCUACAGCUACAAGAACGCCAUCAGCAGGUUCGGGACGAAGCUCACGCCCGCGCAAGUCGCCGUGUUGAGGAAGGCAGGAGGUGCACUGAGAUGAGAACAUGUUAGCUACCAAGAUGGCCAUCGUCUUGCACAGCUCCAUGACCACCUGGGUUAUCUGACAGUGCGUCCUCC